CACCUCUAGCAUAACUAGUAUUAGAGGCACUGCCUGCCCAGUGACAACCGUUAAACGGCCGCGGUAUCUUGACCGUGCAAAGGUAGCAUAAUCACUUGUUCUCUAAAUAAGGACUUGUAUGAAUGGCCACACGAGGGUUUUACUGUCUCUUACUCUUAAUCAGUGAAAUUGACCUCCCCGUGAAGAGGCGGGGAUAAUACAAUAAGACGAGAAGACCCUAUGGAGCUUUAAUUAAUCAACUCAAAAAGCACAAAAUAAUACCACUAAGGGAUAACAAAGCUUUACAUGAGCUGACAAUUUCGGUUGGGGUGACCUCGGAGUAUAAAAAACCCUCCGAGUGAUUAAAACUUAGGCCUACCAGCCAAAGUAUACUAUCACUUAUUGAUCCAAAAUUUUGAUCAACGGAACAAGUUACCCUAGGGAUAACAGCGCAAUCCUAUUCUAGAGUCCAUAUCGACAAUAGGGUUUACGACCUCGAUGUUGGAUCAGGACAUCCUAAUGGUGCAGCAGCUAUUAAGGGUUCGUUUGUUCAACGAUUAAAGUCCU
rnacentral:rRNA from 1 species